rnacentral:rRNA from 1 species
UUGACGGGGCCGCACAAGCGGUGGAGCAUGUGGUUUAAUUCGAAGCAACGCGAAGAACCUUACCAGGUCUUGACAUCCCUGACAACCCGAGAGAUCGGGCGUUCCCCUUCGGGGGACAGGGUGACAGGUGGUGCAUGGUUGUCGUCAGCUCGUGUCGUGAGAUGUUGGGUUAAGUCCCGCAACGAGCGCAACCCUCGACCUUAGUUGCCAGCAUUCAGUUGGGCACUCUAAGGUGACUGCCGGCUAAAAGUCGGAGGAAGGUGGGGAUGACGUCAAAUCAUCAUGCCCCUUAUGACCUGGGCUACACACGUGCUACAAUGGGCGGUACAAAGGGUCGCGAACCCGCGAGGGGGAGCCAAUCCCAAAAAGCCGCUCUCAGUUCGGAUUGCAGGCUGCAACUCGCCUGCAUGAAGCCGGAAUCGCUAGUAAUCGCGGAUCAGCAUGCCGCGGUCGAAUACGUUCCCGGGCCUU